CGAACGGGUGAGUAACAACGUGGGCAACCUGCCCAAAANAGGGGGAUAACACUUGGAAACAGGUGCUAAUACCGCAUAACCAUAGUUACCGCAUGGUAACUAUGUAAAAGGUGGCUAUGCUACCGCUUUUGGAUGGGCCCGCGGCGCAUUAGCUAGUUGGUGGGGUAAAGGCUUACCAAGGCAAUGAUGCGUAGCCGAACUGAGAGGUUGAUCGGCCACAUUGGGACUGAGACACGGCCCAAACUCCUACGGGAGGCAGCAG
rnacentral:rRNA from 1 species